UAUUAGAAUAAAAUAUUCAAUUUUCUAAUAAAAUAAUAUUUUUAGAAUACUAUGUAAAUAAUUUUUACAGCGUAAAAGCAAAAUAAAUUCAUACAUGUUGUAAUACAGAUAACCAAAGUAUAAAAUUUAAUUUACAGUAACACGUGGGCCCACAAAUGACUAAAAGUAUUAAAAGAAAUGAACCUACAGUUUUUGGAUGUGGCAAGUCCAACUGUAAUCCUCGCCAAUAUCAGUUAUCUACAAUCUAUUCUGAGCCUGAAAUAGGUGGAAAUGAGGGUGGUGAGAUUAUAAAAUCCCAGUGAGUAAACAAAUAUCAUUUAAAAUAUCUAAAGACGAGUAAAAUGAGACUAUUAAAACAUUUCAUCAAACUGUAAUUUAUCAUCUUUCAACUUAUUUCAACCAAAUGAAAUCAAUUUAUUUAAAUCAAGUAAUCAGUAUGACUUAUGAAUUUCUUAAAUGCUUGGCUCAUGCCAAAAAUUAUUAUCAUACUCAGUUAUUUGGGAUACCUUGGUCGAGGGCUAUCCCAACUGAGUCUGCCAAGGCUAUUAGAAAGUCAUGUUUUAUUUUGAAAACAUAGUCAUUCCUUAGCGUUGGCGGAGUUCUCCCUCACAUGGUGGUUUGGCAAGAAGUGAACUCUAAAAGUUAUACCUCGGGAGUUACCCUACUCGCCUCUCCAACCGAGGUAAAAUAUAACAGGAUUCCAUGCCCCUCUAAUAGGCUAGUCCAUAGAACCUAGCCCACUGCAGCAGGUCAAACCCACCAUACAAUAACAUUUUGACAGCAUGACAAGGCUAAUAUAUUACUACCUAGCCUGCAAGGGUAAAAUAAAGCAAUUCAUACAAUUCAUAAAACACAGCCCAGCUACUCAUGCUAACACAAUAACAUAAGCCAUCAAUUAAAUUUUAAAUUUACAAGAUAUCAGUAGUCUCCAAUUACUCUAUUUUCAAAAUCGUUAUUUUGUUUCAAGACAAUUUAUAAAAUAUUUUCAUUUAAACUCAUUUGUGUUUAUAAAACCUAAAAUUAACCAUUUACAAUCAUUUUCAUACAAUUUCACCAAAACCGAAUUAAAACAUACUUUAGAUAAUUAAAAUGAUGAUAAGGUUACUAACAGUACUAGGAGUUCGAUAUACUCAUAUUUUCGAUCUUCGGGCACAAUCUCUUUACCCUUAUUAGAGGGCUCACCACCUAUACAUCAUACGUUACACGAAUUUUAAUAAAUUGUGUCAAUUUAUCAUAAACUAUUUCAGGCUCUAUAAAGCUAUAUGAAUGCAUGAAAUGUGAUGCAAAAUGUCCGAAUAGCCGUUUAAUACGGUAUUCGACCUAAUUCGCACUAUUCUCGGUGUAAUUGGCUAAAACCUCCAAUUUAACUCCAAAUCAAUUUCUUUCACUUUCUACACUCCAAUUAUACCUAAAUUACCUUAGUGACUGUGAAUGAGAUUCAAUUUAUCAGUCCCGAGUCAAUAAUCACACUUUUCUAUAUGUUGAGCAAAAAUUUAGAUUUUCACACAAAAAUUUCCCUUUUAAUUUCUAGUCUCACCAAACAUCAAAUAUCACCAAAAUAUCAUGAAAUAUCAUCAAUUUCAGCCACAAUAUGCUCCCUAGGAAAUUUGGCCAUUGAUGGUUGAUGGGGAAAAUGAAUUCUUUACGUGUUGUUUUGUUUCUAAAUAUGCUAAACUAACUAAAAACACUAACAUAACUUAAAAUCAAAUCAAUCUUAGAUCUUUCUCUCUCCAUACCCAUUUUGACCAGCCAUGAAUUCACCAUGAAAAAAUGAAAUCUAACCAUGAAAAAUAAGGAGAAAUGCAUGGGAAAGGUAGAUCACAAGUCAAAAUCAAGAAAUUUUACCUUUGAUUGCUUGAUUACUUGAAAUCCACCAAUUUUCCCUUGAAUUUUCCCACCUAGGGUUCUUGUUCUUCUUUUCCUCUCUUUGUUCUUGCUAUGGCCGGCCA
rnacentral:lncRNA from 1 species